UGGGGAAUAUUGCACAAUGGGCGAAAGCCUGAUGCAGCGACGCCGCGUGGAGGAAGAAGGCUUUCGAGUCGUAAACACCUUUCGGGAGCGAAGAAGGGGGCGCAAGCCUCUUGACUUUAACUUCAGAAGAAGCACCGGCUAACUCCGUGCCAGCAGCCGCGGUAAUACGGGGGGUUGCUAGCGUUGUUCGGAAUUACUGGGCGUAAAGCGCAGGUAGGUGGUUUAUUAAGCAGAAUGUGAAAUCCUCAGGCUCAACUUGAGAACUGCAUUCUGAACUGGUAGACUUGAGUAUGGAAUGGGGAAACAGAAUUCCAGGUGGAGGGGUGAAAUCCGUAGAGAUCUGGAAGAAUACCGGUGGCGAAGGCGGUUUCCUGGUACAUAACUGACACUGAGAUGCGAAAGCGUGGGGAGCAACAGGAUUAGAUACCACGGUAGU
rnacentral:rRNA from 1 species